GAUGAACGCUGGCGGCGUGCCUAAUACAUGCAAGUCGAACGAAAGCACGAAACGCUUGCUUCUCUGAUUUUAGCGGCGGACGGGUGAGUAACACGUGGGUAACACACCUAUAAGACUGGGGUAACUUAGGGAAAACGGAACUAAUAACGGCAAAUCUUCUCAACCGCAUGGAUCAAAAGUUAAAGGCGGUCUUGCUGUCGAUUUUCGCUGGUUCCAGGCGGCAUUAGCUAGUUGGUAAGGUAACGGCUUACCAAGGCCACGAUGCAUAGCCGACCUGAGAGGGUGAUCAGCCACACUGGAACUGAGACACGGUCCAGACUCCUACGGGAGGCAGCAGUGGGGAAUCUUCCGCAAUGGGCGAAAGCCUGACGCAGCAACGCCGCGUGAGUGAUGAAGGUCUUCGGAUCGUAAAACUCUGUUAGUAGGGAGGAACAGAUGUGUAAGAAACUGUGCACAUCUUGACGUUACCUAAUCAGAAAGCCACGGCUAACUACGUG
rnacentral:rRNA from 1 species